rnacentral:rRNA from 1 species
AGGUGCUGCAUGGCUGCGUCAGCUCGUGUCGUGAGAUGUUGGGUUAAGUCCGCAACGAGCGCAACCCUGCUGCCAGUUGCAACGGGUAGAGCCGGGCACUCUGGCGGGACUGCCAUCGACAAGAUGGAGGAAGGUGGGGAUGACGUCAAGUCAUCAUGGCCCUUAUGUCCAGGGCGACACACGUGCUACAAUGGCCGGCACAGCGGGAAGCGAGGCAGUGAUGCCGAGCGGAUCCCUUAAAGCCGGUCUCAGUUCGGAUUGAAGUCUGCAACUCGACUUCAUGAAGCUGGAAUCGCUAGUAAUCGCAGAUCAGCCAAGCUGCGGUGAAUACGUUCCCGGGCCUU